rnacentral:rRNA from 1 species
UACGUAGGGUGCAAGCGUUGUCCGGAAUUAUUGGGCGUAAAGAGCUCGUAGGCGGUCUGUCGCGUCUGCUGUGAAAACUCAGGGCUUAACCCUGAGCUUGCAGUGGGUACGGGCAGACUAGAGUGCGGUAGGGGAGACUGGAAUUCCUGGUGUAGCGGUGAAAUGCGCAGAUAUCAGGAGGGAACACCGGUGGCGAAGGCGGGUCUCUGGGCCGAUACUGACGCUGGAGGAGCGAA